rnacentral:rRNA from 1 species
CGGGACGGGUGAGUAAUGUAUGGGGAUCUGCCUGAUGGCGGGGGAUAACUACUGGAAACGGUAGCUAAUACCGCAUAAUGUCUACGGACCAAAGCGGGGGACCUCCGGGCCUCGCGCCAUCAGAUGAACCCAUAUGGGAUUAGCUUGUAGGUAAGGUAACGGCUUACCUAGGCGACGAUCCCUAGCUGGUCUGAGAGGAUGAUCAGCCACACUGGGACUGAGACACGGUCCAG